AACCGGGGCUAAUACCGGAUAUGACUGCUCCCGGCAUCGGGUGGUGGUGGAAAGUUUUUCGGCUGAGGAUGGGCCCGCGGCCUAUCAGCUUGUUGGUGGGGUCACGGCCCACCAAGGCGACGACGGGUAGCCGGCCUGAGAGGGCGACCGGCCACACUGGGACUGAGACACGGCCCAGACUCCUACGGGAGGCAGCAGUGGGGAAUAUUGCGCAAUGGGCGGAAGCCUGACGCAGCGACGCCGCGUGAGGGAUGAAGGCCUUCGGGUUGUAAACCUCUUUCAGCAGGGACGAAGCGAGAGUGACGGUACCUGCAGAAGAAGCACCGGCCAACUACGUGCCAGCAGCCGCGGUAAUACGUAGGGUGCAAGCGUUGUCCGGAAUUAUUGGGCGUAAAGAGCUCGUAGGCGGUCUGUCGCGUCGGCUGUGAAAUCUCGGGGCUCAACUCCGAGCCUGCAGUCGAUACGGGCAGACUAGAGUGCUGUAGGGGAGACUGGAAUUCCUGGUGUAGCGGUGAAAUGCGCAGAUAUCAGGAGGAACACCGGUGGCGAAGGCGGGUCUCUGGGCAGUAACUGACGCUGAGGAGCGAAAGCGUGGGGAGCGAACAGGAUUAGAUACCCUGGUAGU
rnacentral:rRNA from 1 species